CCUACGGGUGGCAGCAGUGAGGAAUAUUGGUCAAUGGACGAGAGUCUGAACCAGCCAAGUAGCGUGAAGGAUGACUGCCCUAUGGGUUGUAAACUUCUUUUAUAUGGGAAUAAAACGUUCCACGUGUGGGAUUUUGUAUGUACCCUAUGAAUAAGGAUCGGCUAACUCCGUGCCAGCAGCCGCGGUAAUGCGGAGGAUCCGAGCGUUAUCCGGGUUUUUUGGGUUUAAAGGGGGCGUAGGUGGAUUGUUAAGUCAGUUGUGAAAGUUUGCGGCUCAACCGUAAAAUUGCAGUUGAAACUGGCAGUCUUGAGUACAGUAGAGGUAGGCGGAAUUCGUGGUGUAGCGGUGAAAUGCAUAGAUAUCACGAAGAACUCCGAUUGCGAAGGCAGUUCACUGGACUGCAACUGACACUGAGGCUCGAAAGUGUGGGUAUCAAACAGGAUUAGAUACCCGAGUAGUC
rnacentral:rRNA from 1 species